GACGAGUGGCGAACGGGUGAGUAAUGCGUAGGAACUUGCCUGCUAGAGAGGGAUAACUUAGGGAAACUUAAGCUAAUACCUCGUAAUAUCUAAGGAUUAAAGCAGGGGACCGAAAGGCCCUGUGCUAUGAGAUGAGCCUGCGUCGGAUUAGCUAGUUGGUAGGGUAAAGGCCUACCAAGGCGACGAUCCGUAGCUGGUCUGAGAGGACGACCAGCCACACUGGGACUGAGACACGGCCCAGACUCCUACGGGAGGCAGCAGUGGGGAAUUUUGGACAAUGGGCGAAAGCCUGAUCCAGCAAUGCCGCGUGCAGGAUGAAGGCCUUCGGGUUGUAAACUGCUUUUGUACGGAACGAAACGGUCUUUUCUAAUACAGAAGGCUAAUGACGGUACCGUAAGAAUAAGCACCGGCUAACUACGUGCCAGCAGCCGCGGUAAUACGUAGGGUGCAAGCGUUAAUCGGAAUUACUGGGCGUAAAGCGUGCGCAGGCGGUUAUGUAAGACAGUUGUGAAAUCCCCGGGCUCAACCUGGGAAUUGCAUCUGUGA
rnacentral:rRNA from 1 species